rnacentral:lncRNA from 1 species
CUUGUAGGGCUAGUUUUAAACCAGAAUUUAUAGAAAGAUUAACAGAUUCCCUAGGUGUAGCUAAAAGUUCAUUAUCUUUUUGAUUAAAAGAUACAACCUUGGCUAUGGAAAAGGGUUGGUUUUGACCUAUUGCAAUCAACUCCGGACACAGAUCAUAAUUAGGGCAGGACUUGUUGACUCCCAUGGUCUAUGGCUGGUCUCCGAAGGUGCAAAGAAUUCAGUAAUAGGUAUGGAAUUUAAGUUAUCCAUAAAGAUAGAAAAAAUAAAAAGAUAAAAGUAUAAAAGUAUAAUACAAAAUAAUAGCAAGACUUAAAGUUAUCUCAGCAAACCGUCUUUCUCCCC